AUACAUGCAAGUCGAGCGAACUGAUUAGAAGCUUGCUUCUAUGACGUUAGCGGCGGACGGGUGAGUAACACGUGGGCAACCUGCCUGUAAGACUGGGAUAACUUCGGGAAACCGAAGCUAAUACCGGAUAGGAUCUUCUCCUUCAUGGGAGAUGAUUGAAAGAUGGUUUCGGCUAUCACUUACAGAUGGGCCCGCGGUGCAUUAGCUAGUUGGUGAGGUAACGGCUCACCAAGGCAACGAUGCAUAGCCGACCUGAGAGGGUGAUCGGCCACACUGGGACUGAGACACGGCCCAGACUCCUACGGGAGGCAGCAGUAGGGAAUCUUCCGCAAUGGACGAAAGUCUGACGGAGCAACGCCGCGUGAGUGAUGAAGGCUUUCGGGUCGUAAAACUCUGUUGUUAGGGAAGAACAAGUACAAGAGUAACUGCUUGUACCUUGACGGUACCUAACCAGAAAGCCACGGCUAACUACGUGCCAGCAGCCGCGGUAAUACGUAGGUGGCAAGCGUUAUCCGGAAUUAUUGGGCGUAAAGCGCGCGCAGGCGGUUUCUUAAGUCUGAUGUGAAAGCCCACGGCUCAACCGUGGAGGGUCAUUGGAAACUGGGGAACUUGAGUGCAGAAGAGAAAAGCGGAAUUCCACGUGUAGCGGUGAAAUGCGUAGAGAUGUGGAGGAACACCAGUGGCGAAGGCGGCUUUUUGGUCUGUAACUGACGCUGAGGCGCGAAAGCGUGGGGAGCAAACAGGAUUAGA
rnacentral:rRNA from 2 species